UUGAGAGAGGUAGAGAGAGAAAGAGCAUGAGGAAGAAAGAAGAGGGUUAGAAGAGGAAGCUUGAAGAAUCAAGAGGUGAUAGAAAUUCUAGGAGUUAAAUUGAAGUUUUUGCUAGGAUUAUUACCAAUUGAGACGGAGUGCAGGAGUAGUUUGCUUGUCGGUGAGUGCUCGAGGAUAGCGGGAGCUACCUCUAUUUUUUUGUUCGAUGUCUUAGAUUAGGCUCUGAUCUAGGAUGUCCGUCGCUAUUUGUUUAUUUUGAACAUGUUGUUGAGAUUUUUACCUUUAUGUUGGGAUUUGGAGAUUUUAUGUAUUGGUGUAUAUGGAGUUUUGACAUGUCUACUUGGAGAUGUAUAUUCGUUGCGUAGUUGCUUGAAUUUUUAUGCAUGUUAUAAUUUGGAGAACUUUUGUAGAUGUGACAUCUAUUUCUUGAAUAAAUGUUUUAUUCGCGUG